rnacentral:misc_RNA from 1 species
UUUCCGUAGGUGAGCCUGCGGAAGGAUCAUUAUUGUAUAACCGAGGUGCGAGGGCUGUCGCUGACCCGAAAGGUCGUGCACGCCCGAGUGCCCUCACACACAUCCAUCUCACCCCUGUGUGCACCACCGCGUGGGUCCCCCUUUGGCUUGUUCGGAGGGGGGCUUACGUUUUCACACAAACUUUGUAUGCAGUGUAGAAUGUAUUUUUUGUUUUUGCGAUCACGCAAUCAAUACAACUUUCAACAACGGAUCUCUUGGCUCUC